GGAGCAGUUUGGGCAAGCUACAGCUUAACUGUGCAAUCUCGUGGGCCUGCAAUCACUCAAGCAGCCCUAACUCCCCAGCCAGGAGGAUGAUAAGAUGGAAAAACAGCGUCGCAAACGUCAUGUUCGCAGAUGGCUGGACUUGUUUUAAUAUGCAACACACGAGUGACCGUCUGCAGAAGUGAGGGACUAUAGCCGAAAAUAAUAAUCAAAGUCAUGACACACAAUUCAGUGCCUUCCACUGUGUGUUAACACCCAGGACCCGUUACCUGUGAUGUACGUGUAUAUGUACAUGUGUGGCACUUUGCAUACCAGCUUCAGAUGAGUGUUUAUUUUAGCCACUUUUCCAGUGGGGGUACACCAGGAACAAGUCCAUCACAGGGCUUCCACUUCAGGCAAUUCACAGACACCAUUCCAGUUAAACCUCAUGUCUUUGGACUGAGGGUGGAAACCCACGUAAAGACAAGGAGGACAUGCAAGUUCCCUAAACAGAGAGUCACAGUGGGAAUCGAACCCACAACACCCAAGGCAUGAAGCCAAGCCCACAAUGAUACAAGGUUGAUUUCAUGUUGCGGAUAGCAGAGAGCUACCUUAUUCUGAUGGGGGACAUCCGCUGUGGUGGAUCCACUGAAAACGCGUGACGUCGCCACUGGCUGGGAAUGAAGACCGGGUCAGCGCCACAAUUGGCACUAAAGCACCAGGUUCCUGUUAACCAGGCCAGCUGCUCCAAUAGCUGACAGUCUGAGGUGUCUCGAGUUCUGCUGAGGCUGACUGAGCAGAGUCGCACGGGGGGGGCGGCGCUCGACGCAGCUGGAUCAGGCCCGAGAGGCAGGCAGCCGGGGGAUUGGGAUUGGCGCUUGGGGGGGCGACAUGUGUGUUCAGUUGACAGUGAUGGUUUUAGCAGACACUGGGAGGUACAGUAUGGAGAGUGAAUAGAAGUCUGGAAAAAGUGUAAGGGGAGGAACCACACAGUUUACAAAUGUGAGGAGUUCUUUUUAUUUACCAUGAGGGGAGACCUCCAAAAAAGGCAGAGAAGUUCCCACAACAACUAUCAAUUUUCCAGUGAUAAGCAGAAAGACCUCUAUCCCUGCUUGUAAUCCUGCUCUCACUGACCAGUGGGGUAUUCUAUGAAAGUAGCUAAAGAAAGUCAGACUUUCCCUUUAUCCUGCUUCGUGGAACACCCCCCGGGCCAGUGAAUAUGACCUGUCCCUCACUGCAGCUUGCCAGUGUAGCUUUGUCACACUGUUUUUCUUUCUUACACAGCAAUAAUGUAUCUUCUUGUAACUGUAUUUGUAUAUUGUACAAUAUGUUGACAGUACAGAAUCAUGUCCUCACGCAGGCCCGUACCAAACAGUAAUUUGUGUUUAUAUACUCCACAUGUGCCAAAAUAGGACAGUUUAUAAUGAAGAAUUCUUCAAAGAUACUUCCCUGCUAUUGGUAUUCUGUAUGAAACUUCUUUGGGAAGUAUAUUUCAGAUCUCCAAACACUUGCUGAAUUAGGAUAGUGUAUAAAAAGCAGGGAAAAUAUUAUGCUUUUUUAUAAACAAGGAUUCUGGCACAAGCAUUCUGAUCUCAUUUAAACCCUGAAUUCUGAACCCUCUGAUGUCAUGUUGGGACUAUCUGCAAAAGAAAGUUUAUGUACACCUACUUCAGGCAGAAUUGGCAGCCUUUGUCUCUCUGAGGACAUGCGGACAUCAGACUUGUCAGUAUAAUUAAAGGGUGGUUCCCUGUGAUGUAAUCAUAGAAGUAUGUAUCUGAGGGUAAAAGACAGGCGAAGACAAACAGAAUGCACCAAAUUAACAAAAAAUGUUCGAUCAGAAAAAGCAUUUGUGAAUGUCAUACAUUUAGAAGGUCAACAAUCUUUCAUUUGACACAAACCCUUUAAACACCGGCCCUAGAGCAGCACCGUAUUCCCCAUGUGUUUUAUCACAUUCUUUUACAGUUCAGAAUUCCUCUGUGUAUGUGCUGCCAUCUGCUGUUUAGAGUGCAAAAUAUAUUUCAUUACAAUGCGCCAAAGAAUGGCUAUCCACGAUAACCGUGCUAGAUAUGUGUCAUUAGUUCCUGAAGGAAAAUUAUAAGCAAUAGUUUAAAAUCUAUAAAAUUUUGUUAGCACUUUUAGUUUUCCAAUAUGUCGUACUGCUUUACUUUUAUUUCUGCUGUGUUUAAGAUUUUCCAGGUAAACUCACUGUGUAUGAAAUACAUGAAAAGUCCAUUGAAAUCUAAGACAAAUGAUAACCGUGAUUGCCGCGAUAUUCUGCCGUGGUAUACCUUCCAGAUUUUUAGCAGUGACCAAAUUUUUUUCAGUGUACCAUCAUAUAGGCUUUAAUGCAAACAGAAACAGAUUUUUUUUUUUGUAUUUCAUAUUGAUUUUAAAAAGUUUUAAAAAACCUUUAUAGAAAGUCUCCAGUAUAACAGCCCACCUCCUGAAUCCAGCAUACCUAAUGCAAUUUUCAUAUACAGUGCAAAAACAUCAGCAUCAGCUUCUCUGGUGCAUAAAUGACCAAACAUUGGUUCAGGGAUACAAUAUUUUAGCUUCCUCCCACAGCUAAUCAUAGACUUAGUCAGCUCCUUUAUUCUUGUAAAAUACACCCCCCUACUCCCAUCCCAAAGGCUAGGGGGCCACAUUGUCUCUGAAUAAUCAAGAGAUCCUUUUUUAUUCUUUAUUAUGUUGCCAUAACAGAUGCUGUCAGAUCUGAACGAUUGCUAACAAAGUGAUUUUUGUUUGCCUUUUCUUCAUCUUUCGCUCAAUCCGGACCCUCUCCGAGCACAAUGAAUGGGUGGCACUUUUCCAGGUCACCCCCGGCAAAGAUGGAGAAAGGGGGAACAGCCAAACCUUCAGCGCGGAGACAGUUACGGUUCCUUUAAAGACAAGCUUGACAGCUAACAAGGCAGCCGACAUUCUUCAAACGUGAUCUCGCAAACUUCUCCGACUACGGUGCGGGGUGCGAGGUCGCGACCCAAAAAAUUAGCCUCCUGGGGGAUUUUCACAUCAUAAAAAGAAUAGGAUAACAAAAUGCCCAGCGCUUGCGUUCUGCCACUCGCCUCCUUGUCUCUUUUAAACGUCCCUUCGAUCACUGUGCGCUGCCUUUCACUGAAUAACGAACACUUUGAUCAAAGGCUAGCUCAAUCUCUUCUCUCUCUCCCUCUGUCUCUCGCUCACUCUUUUAGAUAAAGAAUGGCGGUAUAGCCCUUCUUUCUAUAACGAGCACUAUGCACAUUGCCCAUUAAGAAUGACCCCCUCCCGCUCCCUGUCCCCUCACUGUAACCUCAUGACAGGUGGUCCGUAUGCCAGUACGCAAUAUGUCACAUUCAAGACCCUGCUCCCAGAUGCACAUCCACCACAACCUGCAACCCUGCACUGAAAGCUCGUUCGGCUACUGCUUAGCAACGAACGGGCCGUGAAUGCUAACUAGCUCCGCGGCAGCUGUGCCAACCGUCAAGACCUAUUGGAUGGCUCUUCUGUGCAAAUCAAAUCAAUCCCGUAACAGCCAGCUCUCAUGGGGCCUCUCAGCGAUGGCGCGUAUACCGUGCAGGAAUCCUGGAGCCGUAGAAGUUCAAUUUCCCUAACACAGGGGGCCUUCGAAAGAAUUGCAGCGGACCAUAUCAACUGCACACGUCGUGCAGUUUAUGGCUAUCUCCUUUCUUUGGCUAUGUAAUGCGAUGUAAAUGUCAUUUAUAGUCAAUGUGUACAGCCAUCAUUAUUGUAGCACGAUUUUCCACGCAACGCAAGAUUAAUGUCAUAGGUUUUGGGGCAUAUAACAGGCAUGUGGGGGGAUAAAAUGUCACAAACACGCAUUUCAUUCCUUGGGCCUCUUUUUUCUCUCGUUUUUUGAAGGCCUGAUACAACACGCUGAAAUAUUGCGGUUUCAGACGUGAAAGCUGUCUUGACAGAGCAAAGGCAGCGCAACACACAUGGUGGAAACAAGACCCAAGCAUGACCACCAGCCGUAGGGCCCCUGCAAUCAGAGACGAGGGGGUGAGCCCCUUUUUUUCCUGCAAGUUGAGCACAAAACAUCCUCUUGCAGUUAUGUUGUUGACAUCUGGAACACACCUGCUGGCCCAGAAGCGGUUGGAUGGUUACAGAGCCAUUUGUAAUAAGUAGUGUACUUUGCAGUGGGGGAACAUGGGAAAAUAGAGUCUCACUGACUCGCUAACUUGGGUCCCUAAGAUAAUUAUUCGUAAUUUAAGACCAAAAGCAUCAGUGUGUAUAUCUGCAGGGCCUAUAUCCCGAGAGUCCAGAAAUAGCCAAACGCAAAAACUAAUGCUGCUUAUUAGAAGACCAUGGAACCAACAAUGUACUGUUGAAGUAUUAAGCAGAAUGGGAAAAAGAGAAAAAGACAAAGGAGUGUUUUGAAAGAGGCUGAUUUAGUAAAAACGAUCAUACCACUACCUGGUAAGUAACUCCUGCAUAUUGCAUACGUACUGUGAGCUCCCAUCCAGUAGGUGGUGCUGGUACUCUGUGUCUUUUCUUUUUAUUCUUUUAGAGAACCAAAACAAACGUGGUGAUUGGAUGUGCAAUAUAUGCAUAGAUCUAUAUAGUGUCUCUUCAUACAUAUGAAAUAUAUUUAUAAUACACUGUGCACAGAGAAAAUUGGGAAUCUUCAUACAUUGUGGGAGGAGACGUGGUGUUGGGGAAGUUCCUCGGAGCUUCUGAGAAAGUAACUUAUCUGCCGAAUCCUGGUGAGGCUGAGAAGCGGGUAUGAGUCACCGUAAGCUCCCCCGGUCAGCCUAUAGAUGGAUGGCCUCAGUCGGGCAUCGAGGAAAAACCACCAGAGAGAAUAAACAAAACAAACUUGAUGCCCCCAGUACCAACACUGCCAGGAGCUGCAGCAAGAAACGAAAAAGAAAAUCUCACUGGCAAAGGAAAGACCUUGUUUUUGCCAUAGCUGAGUAAAGUAUAACACUCAUUGCGCAAACCAAUGAGAUGAAAAGCACAACUCAUAGAUGGCUGCCAUCACUGGAGCUGAUCCAGUGGAUUCCUCCUUGCUCCAGUUGCUCAACUCCCAGUUUAAUGUCUUCCCCAGGACCAGUUCAGUGGGUUCUCUUGGGCCAAGGAGAACUGUAUAGCUAAAACACAUCCAUAUGUGUUCUGCUCAUAAUAAACAUCGUCAUUGUGAAUUUAA